UCUAGAAGCCACAGCACAGCCAGCUUUUUUUCACUUUUUGUAAAGUGAAAUCAAUGGUCCGGAUGAAUUGAUGCUUCUAGAGACAUUUUUAAGGGCCCGGAUCAAGCUUCUAGAGAAAUCUAUUUCUCUUUUCACUUUUUGUUCUGUUGCCGCAGCUGUUUGUGCUCUUUACUCAGCAGUAAUGAGCAAUAACAGAGCUGAGCAAACUCCUCUUCAACCAAAAAAAAAACCCAGCAAACUAUGAAGAAGAUGAAAGAGGCAACGGAGGAGAAAACAAAAAAUGAACCUGAAAUGAAGAUCUGUGAACACAUCAAGUCUAUUGCCAACACCAACUGAUGAAUGAGAACACAAUAUUAUAUACAAUAUUAUUGCUAUUUGGGGGCCCUCUUACAUGUGGGGGCCUUAGGCGACCGCCUAGCUCGCCUAUAGGUUCAGCCGGCCCUGAACGGGUGUUUUGUGAUCUUUUCUUCUGCAAGCUAAAGAUAUCAUGUCACUUCAGUGAGAAA